rnacentral:miRNA from 1 species
GACCCCCGGGAGAGGCUGGAUGGG